rnacentral:rRNA from 1 species
UACGUAGGGGGGCAAGCGUUGUCCGGAUUUAUUGGGCGUAAAGAGCUCGUAGGCGGUUUGUCGCGUCGAAUGUGAAAAACCCGGGGGCUCAACCCCCGGGCCUGCAUUCGAUACGGGCAGACUAGAGUUCGGUAGGGGAGUCUGGAAUUCCUGGUGUAGCGGUGAAAUGCGCAGAUAUCAGGAGGAACACCGGUGGCGAAGGCGGGACUCUGGGCCGAUACUGACGCUGAGGAGCGAAAGCGUGGGGAGCAAACAGG